AGCCCCUGUAUCUAGCAGGUGUUUAUCAUGUUUUCUCCUGUGUCUUCAGGUAGCCCUUAGGAGGGUAUGAGGAACCGAACUUCCCAGCAGUCGAGUGACUUUCAAAAAGCUGCACAGCUCCUAAGGGCCGGAGUUUGAUCUCAAUCUCGAGUCCCUUGGCAACAUAGGAGAAUGGCUGGAGGGGACACGUGGGUUGUCAGGCCGGUCCGGAUUAUACGGCAGUCGAGAGGCUAUCCCACCACUUGAGAAGAUUGAGAGAAAAUAAGAAAAAGCACACCAGGACAUCCCUGCCGGAGAUUUUUGACUUCUUCCAGCAAGCAGGAGCACUCAGCCUGACCCAGACGCCUCUCCCCGCCUGACCCUGAGGAACUGCAACAUUUCCCAAGUCAGCAGCCACGUCUUCCUAAGGGUUACUCUGGCCUUUCCCUGCCAGGGUGGAUUAUACCUGCGACAGAAGUUGUUCACUGGAGAAUCCUUUGCUGUGCCUGAAAUGGUUUUCAGGUGGCAAGAAUGCACUUGAUUCCUGGACAGGCAUUUUCCACUGGAGAGGAUAAAUUUUAAGUCCCUUUUCUGCACUGCCGUAAGUCAAAGGACUGUCAUAUUAAAAAACAGUAGGAAGAACCAGCUCUUAGGGGGAAACGUGAACACUUUCCAACUGUGGUGAGUCAAUGGCACACUGAAGGCAACAUAAUGAAUCCAAGAUACCCUUUUUUUUUGUUUUGUUUUCUGGAAAUAAGGUGUCUUAGAGACGCAAAGUAAUAGGAAAUCUAUUAGUCGCUGUCUUGCCUGAAGCGUUUUUUGAUGUUAAAUUCCCUUUAUGUAUCUUUAGGGUAUUUAAAGAGAUGGCAUUAAACGGACCCUACAAUGUCUACAAGACUCCUCUUUAAACUUCUCAGUGCUUUUUUUUUUUUAAAGUUUAUUUAUUUUGAGAGAGAGAGAGAGAGAGGGUGUGCAUGAGCAGAGGAGGGGCAGAGAGAGAGGGAGAGACAAUCCCAAAUGGGCUGGAGGCAUUUGAACUAUUCACGAACAGCCACUGACGUGGGAGCUCUGACAUCUUUGUACGUGAGCUAUGCAAUCGCACACGUAAUGCGGAAUAGACACAUUCCAGAUGUGAUCGGCCACGUGCCCCGUAGACACUUCAGGACAGUCUCAUAUCCAACUAUAUUUCCUCAUAUACCUCCACUCUCAUGGAAAUGUGGUAUUUCCAGUCAUUUCCGGCAACAAUGACUGAAUGAACCCAGUCUAAAAAAGCAAGGAACUGAGCGAGCUGAGAUUUUUCCGAUAACAUCCAAUUCCAUCCCCUCUAACCUCGGUAUGUAUGAAUACUAAAAGAGGCCAUGCGUGUUCUUUAUCUACAUGCAAAAGACAGGUGCUUCCAGGGCUGGUUCAUUGGCUCAGUGGUGUCAGGGUGCUGGGCCAACACCUCCGGAUUCUCUUGGCUUUUCCUCAUGGCCACAAAAUGGCUGCUGCUGUUCCAGGCAUCGGGACCACACACAGGGAUCUGACAGAGAAAGAAAGUGUCAAAACCAAAAGUGAAUUUCCUUCGGCAAUUUCUUUUCUACUCUUCUUCCCCCCUUCUAAAUCAGAUUAAAAUCUAGCGAAGAGAAAGGAAAUCCCAUAGAUCCUAGCUGGCCGGUGCUGAAAAGGACUCCAAAAUAAAGUGACAUAAAAAGUCCCAUAGUUCCCCCAACUCAACAAAUAUAAACAUUUUCUUCUUUCGCAAGCACAAGCUCCCCGUUAAGCGUUUCAGGAUGCCAGGCGGCUUUGUUCCACGCACUGACUCAGGAAUCCAGGCCGAUGGCUUCCAAAGUCAUUCCGCGCAUCACCCGUCCUGCCAGGGGGAAGGUGGAAAGCCCGGAAAUUCUGGUCCUGAGAUUCCUUCUUCAGCAAGUGGCAUAUGGAACCCAAGCCUGAGUUAUAUGAACUGGCAGAAGCAUAGUCACAUGUGGGCACCACAGCAAACAGAGCUGGAAAACGCAUUCCCAAGCUGGCCUUGGGGGCGGCCCCAGCUGCAGAAGUAGACGGGCAGAAUGGAUUCGGGUUGCUGUUUGCUUCUGUUAUCACCCACCAUGCCUGGUUUAGACAAAUUGUGACCCCUCCC